ACUGACUGCUCUGGUCUCAGUUGUGAACUCCAUGGGUCACAGAGACUGGGAGCCACCUCUCCCUCUAAAAACCCUGUGUAUUUUUGAAAUGCCCUUUCCUGACUGCCCAGCUUAGUGAGCACACCUAACAGCUCUCCCUUGUUGUGUGCAACCACCCAAUCGACCACCUUGAUUUUCAACACGUCUUGGAGCACUGGAGAAGUUCCAGAAGACUGUAUGAAAGCUAAUGUUAUGCAGUUUUUUAAAAGAAUCUGAGAGACAGACCUCUGCUGUGAACAGGAAGAGAAUGGGGCAUGUGUGAUGGGGGAGAGGCCAGCUAUGCUGUGAGUUGGGAUCUGUUUGAAACUCUGCUGCAGUCUACUCUGUCCUGGCAGCUGAGCACAGCUGUUGCCAAUGCAGCCUUAAGCAGUCCCCCCGUCCAUGCACACGGAAUGCUGGACCAAGAUAAGGAGGAGAGAAAAGAGGAUUUGGGAUGACUUCAGGGAGAUCCUUCAAGCCAGUGCUGCAUCAGACAGAGAGCCUGGAGGAUGAAUAUUGCAGACGGUAUGGAGAGGGAAAGAGUGGACAGGAGAAAGACCCCAGAAUCGGAGAGGGAGAUGCACUAGGACAUAAUGGGACUUCUCCAGCAGCAAACACAGAUGCUGCACUCUCCUUUUGACCUAGAGGUUCAACAAUCAUGGGCUCGUCUCCCUUUGCAGUCAAUAAAGAACUCCAUUUUAGCACCUCAUUGUACCCCCUCCACCCCAACAUUUCACGUGGCAUCAGGAGCCACAUCCCUACCCCUAACACUUCACACUGGGGGGCAGUUAGCACAGCCACAGCUUCAUAUAGAUUGAUCUGUGAGAGCCAGGGCUGGUGUAUG